rnacentral:lncRNA from 13 species
CUGGUCAGACUUUACAUUACUAACUCUAAACUAACACAAUACCUGGUCAGACUUUACAUUACUAACCCUAAACUAACACAAUACCUGGUCAGAGUUUACAUUACUAACCCUAAACUAACACAAUACCUGGUCAGACUUUACAUUACUAACUCUAAACUAACACAAUACCUGGUCAGACUUUAAAUUACUAACUCUAAACUAACACAAUACCUGGUCAGACUUGACUAAUACUAACCCUAAAGUAACACAAUACCUGUUCUCCUGUCUACUGUCAUUACACCCAUCCUCAGAGGUACGACCAUAACCCUAAACUAACACAAUACCUGGUCAGACUUUACAUUACUAACUCUAAACUAACACAAUACCUGGUCAGACUUUACAUUACUAACCCUAAACUAACACAAUACCUGGUCAGAGUUUACAUUACUAACCCUAAACUAACACAAUACCUGGUCAGACUUUACAUUACUAACUCUAAACUAACACAAUACCUGGUCAGACUUUAAAUUACUAACUCUAAACUAACACAAUACCUGGUCAGACUUUACAUUACUAACCCUAAACUAACACAAUACCUGGUCAGACGUGACUACUAUAAACUCUAAACUAACACAAUACCUGGUCAGACGUGACUACUAUAAACUCUAAACUAACACAAUACCUGGUCAGACUUUACAUUACUAACCCUAAACUAACACAAUACCUGGUCAGACUUUACAUUACUAACUCUAAACUAACACAAUACUUGGUCAGACUUGACAUUACUAACUCUAAACUAACACAAUGCCUGGUCAGACUUGACUAUGGUUAUGCCUGUGCAAUAGGGCCAGUUCCUCCAUCCAAUAGCGCAGUGAGCCAGAAGCAUGUGUGUUCCCUCCUCCAGGUCAGGAGUGUGGUAUCCACUCCCAACAGAAGUGUUAUCCUCUGGCCUUCGGCGUCCCUGCAGCCCUCAUGGUGGUGGCUCUCAUCGUGUUCAUUAUGGGCAGUGGCAUGUACAACAAGACUGCUCCUAAAGGCAACAUUAUGCUGGAGGUCUGCAAGUGUAUCGGGGUAAGACAGUCUAAUAACACACAGACAGUAAGGGGGUAAGACAGUCUAAUAACAUA